GCUCCCUCCCCCUUCUACUGUGCAGACCUGCUGAAUCCAAGCCUAGCAGCUUCAGCCACCCUCAUACCCCACCCCCACCCGGGGCGCGCACGUCAGUGUGGGCUGAGGGUGAGGCUCCUUGGCAUCUGCACAAACUUGUGCAGGGUAGGCAUGCUUCUUACUCCAUACAGAUUCCGUGUGCCUUUGGAUUUCCCUGUCCAAACCUCUCUCAGAACCAACAGACCUGAGGCCCACCUCAGCCAGGCCACUGCAGACAGCACUUAGCAGCACAGUGAUGGCUGCUCCCAGGCUUCCCGCAAGCUGGCACUCCAGACGUGCCCUGAUCCCAGCAAACCCACCAGGAUUGACUGGCAUCCGGGGAGUUUAAACACCUCAUCUCCUGCCCCAUGGCUUCACUUUAAGAGGAACACAGUAGCUUUCCCUGGGAGAAGAAGGACAUCUAUCUCCAGUCUUUACCAGUGCCUGCUGCGUCUUCCACCGCCUCUCAGUUCUUGGCCAAAAAGAGCUGAAUGUCCCCUGCUGAAGGCUGAGAAACAUACUAAGUGCUCCUUGAUCGCAGCUGUGACUGUGGCUUGAGCUGAAUGUCCCCUGCUGGAGGCUGAGGAACAUACUAAGUGCUCCUUGAUCGCAGCUGUGACUGUGGCUUGAGUGGUUCAUCUGGCCAGGGUGCUGUGUAAGUUUCCUCUGAGAUGGAAGUGUUCCAUCCUGCAGGGGAGCUCCUUAAGCAGGAAGGUAAGCAAGUCAAAGUAGCUUCAGGAAGUCCCUGACACUGAGCAGAGAGUUAAAAUAUAAAAGCUGAGAGUCUCAGAGAAAGUGAUGCUGAGUCAAAAAAGAAGAUUCUGAGGGGAUUAAAGCUGCAAAGAAGACUCAGGCAAGAAGAACUGCCUGGAAGAAACUAGAAAGGACAAUCUCUAACUUGUUGAACUGCAUGCAGGCUGUGCAGUGUGCUCCAGGUUUCAUAGCUUUGUGAAUUGUCACCCAUGCGCAAAUGGCCUUUGUGAUUCAAUUGUCUGAGUUCUUCCUGCCCUGUAAGUAACUCCUCACUCAUAUUCCUGUAAGUAACUCCAAUAAAACCCAUUGUUUCACCAA